CCCACGGCACGGACCUCCAGUAUCAUAGCCCAGCUAAGGUCUUUCCGAUCUGAGUCGGAAUCUGCAGACCCGAGCUGGUCCCACCAGUAGCCACAAUCUCUCAAUUCACAGAUCUAACGGUCCCGCCAGGCGUGACGAAAUGUUCCUGUUCCCGCGAGAAGAGCGAUCGGCCACCAGGAUCUCUGGGAAAUGUAGUCCAGAGCAGGGCCGACGCCGAUCGCUCUCAGGGUCUCGCCCGGGUCCACCAGCAAUGACUGCAGGACAGUUCUCUGAUGUCCUGCCGAGUCUCAGCUGUGCAUCCCCGCAAGUAGGGAAGGAGGACCUCAGCCUCCUGGCGCCAAUCUGGCUCACUGCCUACCGUCCGGCAGACGCGGUCCGCGCUCCGGCCGGAAGUUGAAUAGGACCGCGCGGCAUCCUGGGAGGAGUUGUGCUGUGGAACGUGUCGGGAGCGGAGGAAUGUUUCGGCGGUAGUGUGGUUGGUCCACGGCGUGUUUGGUGGUGCCGUCCUCUCAUACUCUGAGGCACUGCGCUGGAGCAGCCCUCGGGCUUUCCUGGCAGGUGGUGCUGCCGCCUGUCCGCAGCAGUUGAGCGAGCGCGGGCAGUUUGAGCUUUCGGACGGCGCCGCCUCGGGCGGCUGACGGGCGGAGCCUCUCCGGAGGUCGGCGUCCCCCAAGUAGCGGCUGUGGAGAGGGGGUGCUCCUGGGGAGAGCACGCUGCUGCCCACAGAUCCUGGCUCCACAAGGAUACGACGGAUCUGUAGAUGUGAGUAAAAAGAAGCCUGAGGAACAGGCAUCUAUCAUGGGAAGAGAUCUCUGACCCCUGAGGCUGUCCCAGAGGCUGGAAGGUACCAGGAAAGAGUGGACCUUGGAAUUGUUGGAUCUGCAACCUGUCUUCAUCGUGCUUUCAAGAAUGGGCAAACUCUGAAUCACAUCUCAGCCAUUAGGAAUCAGGAACAGCUGUGUGACAAUGGAGCACUUGACCCCAGUGAUGGCAAGGAGAGCUUGGUGUCAUCAGGACUCUGCUCUUUCCAAGGAAGAAGAGGAAACAGCCAGGUCUCUUGCAGAGUGGACAGUGAGAGAAAGAGACAGAGAGAAAGGUCUUCCUUUGCCGUUGGUUCACCCUCCAAUGGCCGCCGCGGCUGGCGCGCUGCGACCGGCGCACCGCGCUGAUCCGAUGGCAGGAGCCAGGUGCUUCUCCUGGUCUCCCAUGGGGUGCAGGGCCCAAGCACUUGGGCCAUCCUCCACUGUGGGGAGCAACCCGGACUGGACUGAGUUACUGGAAUUAAGACUUAUUCUAUGCAUCUGCUCUCCCACAAUAUGGCGCUGAGAAGGGAAACAGCUUCUACACAGCUGCCUCCAGUUCAACCAAUAAACUGUAGGACCUGCUCCUGAUUGGAGGAGAGCAGCGUACUCGGCGUGUGGGUAGCAGAGUUGGGAUUGGUGGAAAAGGACUAUAAAGGAGGAGAGAGACAACAUGCACCAGGAACAUCUGAGGGGAACAUCUGAGGGAACACCUGUGCAGACCCUGAGAGAGCCGGCCGGCGGUGUGCCACUCCCCUGCGGAAGUGGGGAAAGUGGCCAGGGGGAACCGCCCUUCCACGGAGGUGGAAGGGACAGAAGCCAACCCGGGAAGAACCAGCAGCAAACCCGGGGAGGGCCGAGCAGACAAAAGAACAGCGCAGGGUCCUGUGUCGUUCCUCCAUGAAGAGGGGGAGCGACAUAAUGGUGCCAUGACUCGGAUAUGAAGCCUAGGCAGGAUUCAGUGUCGUUUCUCCACGAAGAGGGGGAGCGACACUCCACUGCCUUCCUGGGCCACAGCAGAGAGCUGGCCUGGAAGAGGGGCAACCGGGACAGAAUCUGGCGCCCCGACCAGGACUAGAACCCGGUGUGCCGGCGCCACAAGGUGGAGGAUUAGCCUAGUAAGCUGCGGCGCCGGGCUUCUGUAGCUUUCCAUAUCUCUGUUAUGGUCUUAGAAGAUCUAGUAUAGGCCGGCGCCGUAGCUCACUAGACUAAUCCUCCACCUGCGGUGCCAGUACUCCAGGUUCUAGUCCUGGUUGGGACUCCAGAUUCUGUCCCGGUUGCUCCUCUUCCAGGCCACCUCUCUGCUGUGGCCCGGGAGGGCAAUGGAGGAUGGCCCAGGUCCUUGGGCCCUGCACCCGCAUGGGAGACCAGGAAGCACCUGGCUCCUGGCUUCAGAUCGGUGCAGUGCGCCGGCUGUAGUGGUCUUUUGGGGGGGUGAACCGACGAAUGGAAGACCUUUCUCUCUGUCUCUCUUUCUCACUGUCUAACUCUGCCUGUCAAAAAAAAAAAAGAAGAUCUAGUAUUCUGGGAUACUUACUGUAUUUUAUGGAGUGAAGGAUGGCUUGUUUUUGGAAUACAAAAUAAAGCAAAUUAAGUCCUUUGAGAAAAAAGGAUGUUCUUCAUCAUCUUACAAAAACCUCUGUUCUUGAUUCUUUUUGUUUGCACCUGUAAAACCAUUUACACUCCUAUAGUUUGAACUGCACAUAUACUCUUAUUUUAACCAUAUGAUUCUAUAGUUCAUGCAAUUGUUUUCCCAUCAGUACAGUGGUUCUUUGGCCCUUAUCAGACUUGGAUUCUGAUGUUAGCUCAGUUCAUGCCAGUGGGCAAAUGGUUUUAUUAUCUUACAAAGUAUAUGACUGCAGGUAAGUUUAAUUGCUCAUGCCUUAGUUGCAACAUCUGUAAAGGGAGAUAAUAAUGGUACUUACUCUAUAGGAAUAUUAGAAGGUUUAAAUUCAGGUAAUAAGUGCUACAUGAAUGAUAGGUGUUGUUAAUCAUUAUUAGCUAUAUAAUCUUUCAUACCUGAGACUGCUUUGAAUAUGUUGACUAUAUUCCUUGAAAGUUUAAUGUGCAGUCCGGAAGAUGAAAUUGCUUGAUUUAGGUUCAUAAAAGUAAUGCUUUUCUUGAGUAAAACUGUGUUAAAUGCUAUAAAAAGGCAAAGCUAGAGAUAGUUUUUGUAAUACGUACAGUGGAGAUUUACUAACAGCUUUUUCGUAAAAACCAUUAAUUAGGGGCUGACAUUGUGGUGUUGCAUGUGGGGCCGCCACUUGCAGAGCCAGCAUCCCACAAGGGUGCCAAUUCGUGUCCCAGCCCCCCCACUUCUGAUCCAGCUCUACUAAUGGCCUGGGAAAAGCUGCACAAGAGAGCCCAAAUGCUUGGUCCCAUGCCACCCAUGUGGGAGACCUGGAGACAACUCCUGGUUUUGGCCUGGCUCCACCCUGGCUAAUGCAGCCACUUGGGGAGUGAACUAGAGGAUAGAAGAUGUCUUUCUCUGUCUCUUCCCUCUCUCAGUAACUCCAAUUUCAAAUCAAAUAAACAAAAAGAACCCAAUAAUUAAAUAGAAUAACAUGAAGCAAUCAGAAGAAAUGCAAGUGGCCAACAUAUAUUUUAAAAUAAUAUCUUAAAGAGACAAUUGGGAUUUGCAGAUACAUUUUUUAGGUAAAAUUUAGAUUGGGUAAUAACCACUUUUAUGAGAGAAUUCUGAAUUACAUAUACAUUUUCUUCACAUAGAGUAGAAAGCUAGAAAUUGUGUCAAAGGAAUUGUGAUCUGCAAACUAUUCUCUUAGCUAUCAGAAACUUUAUAUAUAUUCUUCAGAUACAAAAUCCAUAUGUUUUGGUUUGGGAUGAGGAAAUGUACUGCCUGUAUUUUAGGCCCUACAGUCUCAAAGUCAUUCUAGAAUCUGGAUGUGAUAUUCCAUUAUAGCUGUUACUUACAUACAUCUAGACUACAUAAUAUUUUAUUUACUAGCUUCUAUGUGCUAUGUGGAUUGUGCCAUGAACUUUAUAUAGCUUAUUUAUUGUAAUCAGUAUAAAAACUCUGUGAAGUAGAUUUAUUGUUUUAAUUCUUACAUAAUAAGGGAAAAGAAUUAUAAUUAUCAGUGUGUUGUAAACCUAGAAUUCAAACCCAUACAGUCUGAUUCUAGGGCUGCACUUUAUGAUGCUGAACAGUUUUCAUCUGUUCUGCCAACUCAGGAGUGGAAAAAAUGCAAAUUUUGCCAAUUGUGAGUUCUAUUGUUUGCCUAUUUUAUAUUGUUAGUCUUUUCUUUACUUGAAAUUAAGAGGAGCUGGAGCCAUGGUGCAGUAGGUUAAUCAUCUGCGUGUAGUGCCGACAUCCCAUAUGGGUGCCGGUUCUAGUCCCGGCUGCUCCUCUUCCAAUCCAGCUCUCUGCUGUGGCCUGGGAAAGCAGUAGAAGAUGGCCCAAGUCCUUGGGACCCCUGCACCUGCAUGGGAGACCAGGUCAAGAAGUUCCUGGCUCCUGGCUUGGGAUCAGUGCAGCUCUGGCCAUUGCAGCCAUUUGGGGAGUAAGCCAACGGAAGGAAGUCCUUUGUCUCUGUCUCUCCCUCUCACUGUCUGUAACUCUACCUCUCAAAUAAAUAAAUAAAAUCUUUAAAAUUAAGAAAUGUUGGGGCCAGCAUUGUAGCAUAGCAGGUAAAGCUGCCGCCUACAGUGUGGGUGCCAAUUCUUUUCCCAGCUGCUCUGCUUCUGAUCCAGCUCCCUGCUAACAACCUCAGAAAAGCAGUGGAAGAUGGCUCAAGUUCCUGGGUUCCUGCCACCCACAUGGGAGACCUGGAAGGAACUCCUGGUUCUUGGCUUCUGCCUGGACCAGCCCUGGCCAUUGCGACCAUCUGGGGAAUGAACCAGCGGAUGGAAGAUCUCUCUGCCUACUUCAGUAUUAGAAUUGAUGCAGAUACCUUCUCUCAAUCUGUCACUUUUUUUUUUUUUUUUUUUUUUAAGAUUUAUUUCAUUUAUUUGAAAGAGUUACAGAGAGAGGUAGAGACAGAGAGAGAGGUCUUCCAUCCACUGAUUCACCCCCCAGAUGGCUGCAACGGCUGGAGCUGCGCCAACCGGAAACCAGGAGCCAGGAGCUUCUUUCGGGUCUCCCACAUGGGUGCAGGGUCCCAAGGACUUGGGCCAUCUUCCACUGCUAUCCAAGGCUAUAGCAGAGAGCUGGAUUGGAAGAAGAGCAGCCGGGACUAGAAUCGGUGCCCAUAUGGGAUGCCAGCGCCCCAGGCCAGUGCUUUAACCCUCUGUGCCACAGCACCGGCCCCAAUCUGUCACUUUCUUAAAGAUUUAUUUUAUUUGAACAGCAGAAUAAAGAGAGAGGGAGAGAGAAAGAAAGUUCCAUCUGUUGGUUCACUCCCCAAAUGGCUGCAAUGGCCAGGGCUGGGCCAGGCCUGAGCCAAGAGCCAGGAGCCAGGAGCAUCCUCUGGGUCCCCAAUGUGGCUGCAGGUGCCCAAGCAUCUGGCCAUCCUCCACUGCCUUCCUAGGCAUAUUAGCACAGAGCUGGAUUGGAAGCAGAGCAGCUGAAGUGGUGCCCACAUUGUGGACAGGACAGAAACGUGUGCCAUAUGGGAUGCCAGUAUUGCAGUGGGCAGCUGCACCUGCCAUGUCACAAUGCUGGCCCUAAUAUGCUACUUGUUAUGUUUUCAUUUAUCUUGUUCUGUGGAUUCUUAAAUUUGGAUAGUAACAAUUACCAUAUGAUAAAUAGGAACAUAUGGGGCUGGCACUGUGGCUUAGUAGACUAUAUGGAGUCAAACCAGAUUUUCUGAUAUGGGAUGUUGGCAUCACAGAUAGUGGCUUUACCUGCUAUGCCACAAUACCAGCCCCUCACAUUAAAAAAAAUGUUUAUUCAUAGAAUUAUUUGAAGGCAAGUGGUAAAGAGAGGAAGAGAAGAUCAGUCUUCCAGCUGAUGAUUUCACUCCCUAGAUGGUCACAAAAGCUAGUUCUGGGCCAGGCUGAAGCAAGAGCUAGGAGUUCCAUUCUCCAUCUGAGUCCCCAACAUGGGUGGUAAGGGCCCAAGUACUUGGGCCAUCAUCUAUUGCCCAGGUAAAUUCAGGAAGCUGGAUGGGAAAUAGAGCUGCUGGGAUUCAAACAAGCACUACCAUGUGGGUUGCUGGCACCACAACCAGCAGCUUAAGCCACUGUACCACAGAGCCAGCCUGGAUGUUUCAAUUUUGUGAUGAUACAUGCUUAGAAGUAUAAAAUGUUUUAAUUGUUCUGAUAGUCAUUUUUAUUUAAAAAUUUCUUUUGUUUCUUGUGUUUUUAUGUCAUAUCUAAAAAACUGUUGUCUGAGGUCACAAGUUAACACCUGUUUUCUUCUGAGAAUUUUGUAGUUUUAGCUCUUAUAUAUAGGUUGUUGUUCUCUUUUAAGUUAUUUUUAGAAUGUAGAAUCCAGUUCAUGGUUUUACAUUUAGAUAAUCCCGUUCUCUUAGGACCAUUUGUUGAAAAGACUAUCCUUUUCUCCAGUGAGUGUCCUUUGUCUAAAAUCAAUCCACUAUAAAUGGGAGAUUUAUUUCUUUCAACCAGUUCUAUUCUGUUCAUCUGUUAUGUCUGUCCUCAUGCCAGUACCACACUGUCUUUUUUUCUUUUUCUUUCCUUUUUUUUUUUUUUUGACAGAGUUAGACAGUGAGAGAGAGAGACAGAGCGAAAGGUCUUCCUUCCGUUGUUUCACCCCCCCAAAAUGGCUGCUAUGGCCGGUGCGUUGCACCGAUCUGAAGCCAGGAGCCAGGUGUUUCCUCCUGGUCUCCCACGCAGGUGCAGGGCCCAAGCACUUGGGCCAUCCUCCACUGUACUACCGGGCCACAGCAGAGUGCUGGACUGAAAGAGGAGCAACCAGGACAGAACCAGUGCCCCAACCGGGAGUAGAACCAUGAGUGCCAGCGCUGCAGGUUGAGGAUUAGCUUAGUGAGCCACGUUGCUGGCCCACACUGUCUUGAUUAUUGUAGCUUUUUAGUAAAUUUUAAAAUUGGGAAAUGUAGAUCUUCCAGGUUUUUUUUUUCCAAGAUCAUUUGGACUUUUCUGAAUCCUUUGCAUUUCUUUUUUUAUUUUUUAAAGACUUAUUUAUUUGAAAGGCAGAGUUUACAGAGAGAGAGAGAGAGAGAGAGAGACAGAAAGCGAGGGAGAGAGACAUCGAGAUCUUCCAUCCACUGGUUCACUCCCCAGAUGGCCACAACGGUUGGAACUGGGGCUGUCUGAAGCCAGGAGCUUCUUCCAGGUUUCCCACAUGGGUGGCAGGGACCCAAGCACUUGGGCUAUCUUUCCACUGCUUUCUCAGUCACAUUAGUAAGGGGCUAAAUUGGAAGUGGAGCAGCUGCAACUUGAACUGGCAUCAAUAUGGUGGCUUUAUGCACUUUGCCAUAAUGCUGGCCUCUCUUUUGCAUUUCUAUAUAAAUUUUAAGAUGUGCUUGUACAUUACUGCAAAAAGGUAGCUGAUCUUUUGUUAGGGAUAGCAUUGAAUUUAUAGGUCGAUUUGGAAGUAUUAUUAUCUUAUCAAUAUGAGUAUUAAGUCUUGUGAUCCAUAAACGAGAUGUCUUCAAAUUUCAGUAUUUUCAAGCUCUCAGAAUAUAAAUUUUACAUUUAUUUUGUUAAAUUUAUUCCUAAGUAUUUUAUAUUUUUAUACUGUUGUGAAUGGUACUGCUUUCUUAAUUUCAUUUUUGCCUGUUCUCUGUAUCUUCAAAUACAAUUAACUUUUCUUAUUGAUCUUAGAUCUGUAACCUUGCUGAACUUAUUCAAAUGGAAUUUUAGUGGCAUCUUUGAAUUUUCUAUAUGCAAAAUUAUACCAUCUGAAAACAGUCGUAGUGUCAUUUUCUCCCAAUCUGUAUGCUUAUUUAUCUUCUUGCUUAAUUUCUCUAAUGUCUAUACUACAGUGUUGAAUAGAAAUGAUGAGAGUAGGCAUCCUUGUUUUGUCUCUGAACUUAGGGGAAAGCAUCCAGUGUUUCACCAUUUAUUAUUAUAUUCCUGUGAGAUUCUUGAAGAUAUCCUGUAUCUUGUUGAACAAGUCCUUUUCUUUUGGUAGCUUGUUGAAUAUUUUGUUGUUGUUGUUAUAAAUCAUGAGAAUGUUGGAUUUUGUGAAGUACUGUUUCUCCAUUUCUGCAGAUGACCUUUUGGUUUUGUCCUUUUUAGUACUGAUAUUGUGUAUUACCUUAACUGAUUUUUUUGGAUGUUAAUCCAAUGUUGUACUCCUGGGAUACAUCUCCUCGGUCAUGGUCUGAAAAUCUUCAUUUGAUUAGAUUCAUUAGCAUUGAGCACUUUACCUCUGUAUUAAUAAGACGUAGUGGUCUAUAAUUUUUUGUGUGUGUGUGUAAUGUCUUGUCUGAUUUUAGUAUUGGUAUAACUGAAUUCAUAGAAUAAAUCUUCCAUCCUCUUUACUUUUCCUCUUUAUUUUGGAAGUUCAUAAAGAAGUUAGUAUUAAUAUUUCUUUGUUAUAACUUUCCAGUGAAGCCAUCUGGGCCUUAGCUUUUCUUUUUUUUUCUUUAUUUUUUUUUUUAAGAUUUAUUUAUUUAUUUGAAAGUCAGAGUUACAAAGAGAGAGAAGGAGAGGCAGAGAGAGGGAAAGAGAGGUCUUCCAUCUGGUUGUUCACUCCCCACUUGGCCACAAUGGCUGCUGCUGUACCAAUCCAAAGCCAGGAGACAGGAGCUUCUUCCGGAUCUUCCAUGCCGGUUGCAGGGGCCCAAGGACUUGGGCCAUUCUCCACCACUUUCCCAGGCUAAAGCAGAAAGCUGAAUCAGAAGUGGAGCAGCCAGGACUCGAACCGGCACCCAUAUGGGAUGUCGGCACUGCAGGUGGUAGCUUUACAACCACUAGGCCACAGUGUUGGACCUGACCGAGCUUUUCUUUUUGGGUAGUUUCUUGACUAGUAAUUUAAUCUCUCUUAAUAGAGAUCUAGGCCAGCGCCACGGCUCACUAGGCUAAUCCUCCGUCUGCAGCACUGGUAUCCCGGGUUCUAGUCCUGGUUGGGGCACUGGAUUCUGUCGCAGUUGCUCCUCUUCCAGUCCAGCUCUCUGCUGUGGCCCAGGAGGGCAGUGGAGGAUGGCCCAGGUCCUUGGGCCCUGCACCCGCAUGGGAGACCAGGAGGAAGCACCUGGCUCCUGGCUUUGGAUUAGCGCAGCACACCGGCCGCAACGCACCAGCCAUAGCGGCCGCUUGUGGGGUGAACCAACGGAAAAGGGAAGACCUUUCUCUCUGUCUCUCUCUUUCUCACUGUCUAACUCUGCCUGUCCAAAAAAAAAAAAAAAAAACCAGAGAUCUGCAAUUUUUUUUUCUUUUUGAUACAAUUUCAUUAGUUUAUAUCUUUCUAGAAUACUUCCACUUCAUGUAUGCCAUCUAAUUUGUUGGCAUACAGUUCAUAUUUUUUAUAACCCUUUAUAUUUCAGAUGAGUUUAGUGGUCAUACUUCCUUUCUCAUUCCUGAUUUUAGUGUGUUUUUAUAGUCUUCCCCCCGCCUUAUCAGUUAAAUGAAAAGUUUGUCUAUUUUGUUGAUUUUGUUUUUAAAGAUUUAUUUAUUUAUUCAAAAGGCAGAAUUACAGAGAGAGAGAGGGAGUGGGAGAGGGAGAAUCAGAGAGAGCGAGCUUUUCCACCCUCUGGUUCAUUCCCCAAAUGGCCGCAAUAGCCAGAGCUAAGAUGAUCUGAAGCCAGGAGCCAGGAGCUUCUUCCAGGUCUCCCAAGUGGGUGCAGGGAUCCAAAGGACUUGGGCCAUCUUCCACUGCCUUCCCAGGCACAUUAGCAGGGAGCUGGGUCGGAAGUGGAGUAGCUGGGACUUGAACCAGCACCCAUAUGGGAUGCCAGCAAUGCAGGCAGUGGCUUUACCUGCUGCGCCACAGCUCCAGUCCCCUUGUUGAUCUUUAAUCCUCUGCCUGUGGUGCUGGCAUCCCAUAUGGGCGCCAGGUUCUAGUCCCAGUUGCUCCUCUUCCCGUCCAGCUCUCUGCUGUGGCCUGGGAAGGUAGUGGAGGAUGGCCCAAGUGCUUGGGCCCCUGUACCCACAUGGGAGACCAGGAGGAAGCACCUGGCUCCUGGCUUCAGAUCGGCGCAGCACCAGCCGUAGCAGCCAUUUGGAGAAUGAACCAAUGGAAGGAAGACCUUUCUCUCUCUCUCUCUCACUGUCUAACUCUGUAAAAUAAAAAAAUUAAGAAUGAAUUUUUGGUUUCAUUGAUUGUCUAAUCUUUUCUAUCCUGGAUUUCAUUGAUUUCCAAUAUAAUGUAUAAUAUUUAUUUUCUCUUAGUUAUAUUGGAUUUAGUCCUUCUUCCAAUAUCAGAAGGUAUAUGUAGGUAGUUUACUACAAACAUAAUUUCAACUCUUUCUUCUUCUUUUUUUUUUUUUUUAAGUUUUAUUUAUUUACUUGAAAGGCAGAGUUACAGAGAGGCAGAAGUAGAGGUAGAGAAAGAGAGCGAAGUCUCCCAUCCGCUGAUUCACUCCCCAAAUGACCACAAUGGCCAGACCUAGGCCGAUCCGAAGCCAGGAGCCAGGAGCUGCUUCCAGCUCUCCCAUGUCAGUGCAGGGGCCCAAGGACUUAGGCCAUCUUCAACUGCGUUCCCAGGCCAUAGCAGAGAGCUGGAUCAGAAGUAGGGCAGCCGGGACUCAAACUGGCACCCACAUGGGAUGCUGGCACUGCAGGUGGCACUUUUACCUACAUUGCCACAGUGCCAACCCCUGUCAUUUUUUUUUAAAGAGGGUGUUCAUAGCUGAAGAUAUGUUUCUAAACAUUGCUUUAGUGGUAUAUUGUAAGUUUUGGUAUGUGUGUUGAUUUUAGUUUAUCUCAAAAUAUUUUGUAAUUGGGGUUGGCGCUGUGGCGCAGUUGGUUAACGCCCUGGCCUAAAGUGCCAGCAUCCCAUAUGGGCACUGGUUCUAGUCUUGGCUGCUCCACUUCUG